rnacentral:rRNA from 1 species
GAGUUUGAUCCUGGCUCAGGAUGAACGCUAGCUACAGGCUUAACACAUGCAAGUCGAGGGGCAGCAUGAACUUAGCUUGCUAAGUUUGAUGGCGACCGGCGCACGGGUGAGUAACACGUAUCCAACCUGCCGAUGACUCGGGGAUAGCCUUUCGAAAGAAAGAUUAAUACCCGAUGGCAUAGUUCUUCCGCAUGGUAGAACUAUUAAAGAACUUCGGUCAUCGAUGGGGAUGCGUUCCAUUAGGUUGUUGGCGGGGUAACGGCCCACCAAGCCUUCGAUGGAUAGGGGUUCUGAGAGGAAGGCCCCCCACAUUGGAACUGAGACACGGUCCAAACUCCUACGGGAGGCAGCAGUGAGGAAUAUUGGUCAAUGGACGAGAGUCUGAACCAGCCAAGUAGCGUGAAGGAUGACUGCCCUAUGGGUUGUAAACUUCUUUUAUACGGGAAUAAAGUGAGGCACGUGUGCCUUUUUGUAUGUACCGUAUGAAUAAGGAUCGGCUAACUCC